ACGCGAAAUCUCCCUUCGGGGAGAAAGUAGAGUGGCGCACGGGUGAGUAACACGUAGGUAAUCUACCUUUGGAUGGGGAAUAACCCAGAGAAAUCUGGGCUAAUACCGCAUAAUGCAGUGGCACCUAAUGGUGACAGUUGUUAAAGCGGGGGAUCGAAAGACCUCGCGUCUAAAGAGGAGCCUGCGGCGGAUUAGCUAGUUGGUAAGGUAAUGGCUUACCAAGGCUACGAUCCGUAACCGGCCUGAGAGGGCGGUCGGUCACACUGACACUGACAUACGGGUCAGACUCCUACGGGAGGCAGCAGUCGGGAAUUUUGGGCAAUGGGCGAAAGCCUGACCCAGCAACGCCGCGUGAAGGAUGAAAUCCCUCGGGAUGUAAACUUCGCAAGAACGGGAAGAAUAAGUAGGGGACAAUACCCCCUAUGAUGACGGUACCGUUUGUAAGCUCCGGCUAACUCCGUGCCAGCAGCCGCGGUAAUACGGGGGGAGCAAGCGUUG
rnacentral:rRNA from 1 species